UCUGGGAGGAUUGACAGAUUGAGAGCUCUUUCUUGAUUCGGUGGAUGGUGGUGCAUGGCCGUUCUCAGUUGGUGGAGCGAUUUGUCUGGUUAAUACGAGACUUUAGCCUAAUAAAUAGGUGCGUGGUUCUCUGCUCCUUGCACCCUUCUUAGAGGGACAAGCGGCUCCUAGCUGCACGAAACAGAGCAAUAACAGGUCUGUGAUGUCCUUUGAUGUCCGGGCCCCACGCGCGCUACACUGAAGGAAGCAAUGCGUUUUUAUCCCUGUCUGUUGAGACAGUAAUCUUAGAAAAAUGUGGCUUGAGCAAAUACAGAG
rnacentral:ncRNA from 1 species